GCCGCUUCCAACAUCAGGCGCAACCGCCCUUCCGCCGCCGCCCUAGCCCGGCGCGGCGCGGCGAUGCCGCCCCGCGCCACCAGGAGGCCAGGACCGACACGCCGGCGCCUCCUCGUAUGACCACGCCACGACUAAUGCAUGCUUGUCCAUCGACCCCAGCCGUCCAGGGGACGCCAUCGCCGCCGCCUAGUCUCCGGCAUCCAGCCGGUGCAGGUCCAGCUACUCCAGCCGUCCCUCGGGCCUCCCUCCGCUCCACACUCCAGACGGGACGACCAGCCAACCAGGACGACCGACAGUCGCCUCCCUCUGCUCCUGACCAGGAGUCCAGGACACUGUUUGAUGCGAAGAUAUGCUUCUAACAUCUUUCAGAGAUACUUGUUUUGUUGAAAUUGUUCCACCGUAUCAGGCUCCACGGAGAGAGCAUUGGCCAAGUUUCUGGUUUGAAGUUCACUACAACUCACUAUACGAUGCUCCAGAUCUCCCGAGCAAAUACAGGCCUAGAAAGAAGCUUGUUUUAGAUUCACAUGUUGCUUCAGGCUUGAAUUUUAUCACAUGGCCUUGUCGAUAUUGCUGGCCGGCCACAUCCUGGAGAGCGGACAUCUACCUCUGAUUUUCCCCACUGGAGAUCUGAGGCAUUGGAUUAUUGGAUGCGUUCCUUGGUACAGUCAUGUAAUCAGAUGUAGUUCGAUACUGAAACCGAGGUUGCUUCCUUGUGCAUAGAUAUUUAUAAUAACAGAUAAGUUGGUUGUAUA